GUUGAAAUCCUGAUACUUGUUUUAUCAUGUGUCAAAGGUAACAAAGCUUGUGAAAAGAUUUGUGACUUGAUGUGGAAAGAUUGUCUGCAGAAAGAUGUUUCAAAGGAAUGCUGUCCAGGCUGGUUACUUCAUGGUCUGUACUCAUUUAGUGAGAAUGUUUCCAGCUUAAUAUAAACCAUUGCUUUUAGCGUGCAUGCACUACAAUGAGAAUGCAGACCACGGGGAAGCUUGGACCACAAAUGGAGAGGCCAAGGUGAAGGUCUGAUACCCCAAGUACAGGAAGGACUAUGUGGACACUUCAUAAUGGCUCCUGGAGGAGUGGCUGUCAAUCCAAGUCCCUAUCAGGAGGAGAGAGAGUGCGUUCAAAUGCCAGAGGCCCUUUGUGCAGAUUUUGAGAGGCCUGAUCUUCAGGGAGCACUGGCAUGUCUCUGGCCAUGGUUUGCAUCUGAAUAAUCAUUGUAAAACAUUGUGAAUAAAUAAUCAUUGUAAAUACAUAAUCACUGUAAAUGGACAAACAUAAGAACCCUAUAUAAAGUUAAUUUUUAAUGUUGCUUCCAAUUACAUAAAAUAAUUAACUAUAAAAUCAGAGUCAGAUUUAUAUUUUUUUUUUAAAAAGCUACUGAGCUCUUAAAGGGGGGAACCUGAAGCUAACAUAGACUCCUGAAUCUUCAGGAAAGGCUCUCCAGAUCUUGGUUACCACACAGGAUGGAAUAACCACCCUCACCUCUUCCCAGAUAACCCCAACACUAACGCAUAAUGGUCCGGUAAGCUGUGUGCCAAUACUACAGUCUUUUUUUAUUUAAAUGAUUUACUGGGCUUGGAAUGAUAUGCUUAUCUUACAAUACAAUUUGACAUGCAAUAAGAGAUGUCUGAUUUGAUAAAACGAGGAUAUAAUUUAACAACUGUAAAUUACAGCAAAAAUAUGACUUCAUGCUGACACCACAAGUCUAACAAUGGCAUUGACUUGAUAGUUAGAAAUGUCAUUAAAAAAUGUGAUUAUAUAAUGUCAAGGAACAGCUUGUGAAAUUGCGAUGAGUGAGCCGUCUCAACUGAUUUCAACAGCAUGGCAAAAUGUAUCUAAUAUCACAUUUAAUAUUUCUCCCCCACAAUGUAUAUUAUUACACUUUGUUAGCAUUGCAUUGUAUUAAAUUUUGAUCUUGUUCCUUC